rnacentral:rRNA from 1 species
CCUACGGGAGGCUGCAGUAGGGAAUAUUGCACAAUGGGGGAAACCCUGAUGCAGCGACGCCGCGUGGGUGAAGAAGUAUUUCGGUAUGUAAAGCUCUAUCGGCAGAGAAGAAAAUGACGGUACCUAAUUAAUAAGCCCCGGCUAACUACGUGCCAGCAGCCGCGGUAAUACGUAGGGUGCAAGCGUUAUCCGGAUUUACUGGGUGUAAAGGGAGCGUAGGCGGCAGAGCAAGUCAGGAGUGAAAUGCCGGGGCUUAACCCCGGAACUGCUUUGGAAACUGUGAAGCUAGAGUGUAGGAGAGGUAAGUGGAAUUCCUAGUGUAGCGGUGAAAUGCGUAGAGAUCAGGAGGAAUACUAGUGGCGAAGGCGGCCUACUGGACUGUAACUGACGCUGAGGCGCGAAAGCGUGGGGAGCAAACAGGAUUAGAUACCCGUGUAGUC